rnacentral:rRNA from 1 species
UACAGAGGUCUCAAGCGUUGUUCGGAUUCAUUGGGCGUAAAGGGCGCGCAGGCGGCUCUGAAAGUCAGAUGUGAAAGCCCCGGGCUUAACCUGGGAAUUGCAUUUGAUACUCUGGAGCUUGAGUACGGGAGAGGAGAGUGGAAUUCCCAGUGUAGAGGUGAAAUUCGUAGAUAUUGGGAAGAACACCGGUGGCGAAGGCGGCGACUUGGUCCUUGACUGACGCUGAGGCGCGAAAGCGUGGGGAGCAAACAGG